rnacentral:rRNA from 1 species
UAUAAAUUUAGUUUUAACUGCCGGGGUACUACGAACGCAUGUUUAAAACUCAAAGGAAUUGGCGGUGCUAUAUCCUACUAGGGGAACCUGUUCCUUAAUUCGAUAACCCACGAAGAUCUUACUUAUUCUAGCUUAUCAGCUUAUAUACCGUCGUUUAGCUAACCUCCCGAGAGAAAAGAAGUUAGCAGAAAAGGCCCAUAUUUCCUAAUAAAACAGAUAAAGGUGUAGCCAAUGAAUAAGGGAGAAUUUGUUACAAUUAACAACUUGUUAGUGGAAUCAAAAUGAAAUCUUUUGAUGAAAGAGGACUUAGAAGUAAUUUUUUUGAAUAAAACUAAAAUGAAUACGGCUCUAUAGUGUGUUCAANCCCCC